rnacentral:tRNA from 1 species
CCGGGAGCGGCCCGCGUGGCCGGGCGAGCCGCUCCGGGCGGUCUCCGAGCCGGUUCCGAGCCGGUUCCGGGCC